rnacentral:snRNA from 1 species
GGAUGUGAGGGUGAUCUGUCUGCGACACCUGUCACUCCAUUGAUCACCAGGGUUGAUUCGGCUGAUCUGGCUGACUAGGUGGGUGUCCCCUUCCUCCCUCACCGCUCCAUGUGCAUCCCACCCAAAGCCCCUCGCUCGCUUGGUUGCAGAGGAUGACCUUCCCUGCUAGAGGGGGAUCGGUCUUUGGUCAAGGGUAUACGAGUAGCUGCACUCCCCUGCUAGAACCACCAAACAAGCUCCUAAGGGCUUAUUUUAAAUGCAAUUAUGUUUUCUUUGGAACUGA